UUCCCCAGGACAAAGCCUGCUGAGGGGGUCCCCGAACACUGGGUUUCUACGGUUUCCUAGCAGGGAGUGGGGAGGCAGGUUCUGCACAACUGUCACUUCCUCCAGGUGGCUUUCUGUGAAGGUUCUCUGUGAGUGCCAUUCCCCCUCAGCAUAUCACAGCACUUACCAUGAUCUCCCCUAAAGUAGUACCUGGCAGUAAAUGUUUGUGGAAAGAAAGAAAGACAGAAGGAAGC